rnacentral:rRNA from 1 species
GACGAACGCUGGCGGCGUGCUUAACACAUGCAAGUCGAACGGAAAGGCCCUGCUUUUGUGGGGUGCUCGAGUGGCGAACGGGUGAGUAACACGUGAGUAACCUGCCCUUGACUUUGGGGUAACUUCAGGAAACUGGGGCUCAUACCGGAUAGGAGCUCCUGCUGCAUGGUGGGGGUUGGAAAGUUUCGGCGGUUGGGGAUGGACUCGCGGCUUAUCAGCUUGUUGGUGGGGUAGUGGCUUACCAAGGCUUUGACGGGUAGCCGGCCUGAGAGGGUGACCGGCCACAUUGGGACUGAGAUACGGCCCAGACUCCUACGGGAGGCAACAGUGGAGAAUAUUGCACAGUGGGCGGAAGCCUGAUGCAACAACGCCGCGUGCGGGAUGACGGCCUUCGGGUUGUAAACCACUUUCGCCUGUGACGAAGCGUGAGUGACGGUAAUGGGUAAAGAAGCACCGGCUAACUACGUG